UAUUCAAAAUUAUCUUUGAAAAAUGGAACGAAAACGUGUGGAAAGUACGAUAGAAGAAAGAAAAAUCAUUAUUAAUUUACAUAAUCAGUGUAAAAGUUUAUCAGAAGUAUCGUGGACUAUAAGCAGACCUCGAUCUACUAUGUAAAGUAUAAUUAAUAGAUCUGAUAGACAUUGUUCUAUUUGGAGAAGAAAGAAUGAGGAAUUGAAAUUGAAAAACUUAUGGCCUACAGUGAAACACAGUAGAGGUUCCGUAAUCAUUUGGAGCUGUAUGAGUGCAGCCGUUGGCACAUUACAAUUUAUCGAUGGAAUAAUGAACCACCGAGUUUACAUUGACACCUUAAAAUCAAAUCUUUCUUCCAAUGCAGGAAAAAUAGGCAUUAAAGAUGACGAUCAUGCAAGAUAACGAUCUAAAACAUACUGCAUAUAAAUCCAAAAUGUGGAUACUGCAUAAUACACCAGUGUAUCUACAAACUUCCCCACAAUCUCCAGAUAUCAACCCAAUAGAACACUUGUGGGAUUACACUUGGAAUGUCAGAUUAGGAAACAUCAAAUUUCCUCAAAAGAAAGUUUAAAAAAUGCUCUCCAGCAGAAAUGGAGCAAGAUCUUGCCUCGCAUAAAAUCAAAUUUAGUUAAUUCAUUGCUUAAAAGAAUUGCAGCAAUAAUUAAAUAAAAAAGAAACCCUACAAAGUAUUAACUGUCUAGCCUGAUUUUUUUAUUGUCAAAUUCAUCUAAAUUAUGUUUCUUCUUCUAAACUUAUAAAAAUUUAACAAUUGUGCGAAUACUUAUUGCUUCUGUAAUUCUGUCGAUUUUUUGUUUUUUCUUGUUGAUUUCGCAAAUUAUGCAAGUUACAAAUUUUCCUUUGCACAAUAUCUACUCUAGAGAUUUGCGAAAAUUUGUACAGACUCAUUGUUUAUAAAAAAAAUUGUUAAUAAACUAUCAUUUCACGAA